CCUACGGGAGGCAGCAGUGGGGAAUAUUGCACAAUGGGGGAAACCCUGAUGCAGCGACGCCGCGUGAGUGAAGACGUAUCUCGGUACGUAAAGCUCUAUCAGCAGGGGAGUAAAUGACGGUACCUGACUAAGAAGCUCCGGCUAACUACGUGCCAGCAGCCGCGGUACUACGGAGGGGGCAAGCGUUAUCCGGAUUUACUGGGUGUAAAGGGAGCGUAGACGGAAGCACAAGUCUGGAGUGAAAGCCCGGGGCUUAACCGCGGAACUGCUUUGGAAACUGUGCGGCUGGAGUGCAGGAGGGGUAAGCGGAAUUCGUAGUGUAGCGGUGAAAUGCUUAGAUAUUAGGAGGAACUCCGGUGGCGAAGGCAGUUUACUGGACUGUAACUGACGUUGAGGCUCGAAAGCGUGGGGAGCAAACAGGAUUAGAUACCCCGGUAGUC
rnacentral:rRNA from 1 species